UGUCACAGCCAUAUCAGCCCAAGACCGCUUACUCACCGAAGCUAAACAGGGCUGAACCUGGUCAUUACCUGGAUGGGAGACCACAUGGGAAAACUAGGUUGCUGUUGGAA
rnacentral:rRNA from 1 species